ACUGGGGGGCCUGAUCCAAAGCCCACUGAAAUAAUUGAGAGUCUUUCAAUGUAUUUCAGUGAGCUUGGGAUCAGGCCCUAAUUGU
rnacentral:pre_miRNA from 1 species